AGCGAACGGACGAGAAGCUUGCUUCUCUGAUGUUAGCGGCGGACGGGUGAGUAACACGUGGAUAACCUACCUAUAAGACUGGGAUAACUUCGGGAAACCGGAGCUAAUACCGGAUAAUAUUAUGAACCGCAUGGUUCAAAAGUGAAAGACGGUCUUGCUGUCACUUAUAGAUGGAUCCGCGCUGCAUUAGCUAGUUGGUAAGGUAACGGCUUACCAAGGCAACGAUGCAUAGCCGACCUGAGAGGGUGAUCGGCCACACUGGAACUGAGACACGGUCCAGACUCCUACGGGAGGCAGCAGUAGGGAAUCUUCCGCAAUGGGCGAAAGCCUGACGGAGCAACGCCGCGUGAGUGAUGAAGGUCUUCGGAUCGUAAAACUCUGUUAUUAGGGAAGAACAUAUGUGUAAGUAACUGUGCACAUCUUGGCGGUACCUAAUCAGAAAGCCACGGCUAACUACGUGCCAGCAGCCGCGGUAAUACGUAGGUGGCAAGCGUUAUCCGGAAUUAUUGGGCGUAAAGCGCGCGUAGGCGGUUUUUUAAGUCUGAUGUGAAAGCCCACGGCUCAACCGUGGAGGGUCAUUGGAAACUGGAAAACUUGAGUGCAGAAGAGGAAAGUGGAAUUCCAUGUGUAGCGGUGAAAUGCGCAGAGAUAUGGAGGAACACCAGUGGCGAAGGUGACUUUCUGGUCUGUAACUGACGCUGAUGUGCGAAAGCGUG
rnacentral:rRNA from 1 species